GUUGAAAGACCAGUUCUUGUCCGAUCACUGAAGUUAAGCAACAUUUUGCCUGGUCAAUACCUAGAUAAGUGAGCACUUGGGAAUACCAGGUGCUGUAAG